AAAUCAAGAUGCAGAAUAGCACAGGCAUUCCAGAAGUCUUCCUUGUGCCUUCUGCCAAUCAAUAGGCCCUUUGGAAAGACUCUGUAUGUUGCAUUUUAUGGCCAUGGUGCAGAGUAGAGGAUGAGAGAUUAUUCAGAGUCCACCUUCAGCUUAACAUCCAAGAAGGCCCAGAGGGACUUCCUUUAACCUGUGUCACCUCAGUGUGAAAGAGUCUCAGGAAAAAAUAGCCUGGAAUGUCUGGAAGCUGCUCGCCACCACCUUCAGCACCUCUUGUAAUUGUAGAGGCCAAAGUUUCUGUGGUGGAGAGUCCAGGUGAAGUGAGGAUGACUUGUCUCUGCUCUCCGGUCUGAGGAAUCAGAGAGAACACUCAGACAGCUGGAGGUGACUCACGCAGCGGGGGAAGAAGCUGCUGGAAAUGCUU